GUAGGUGAACCUGCGGAAGGAUCAUUACAGAGUUCAUGCCCCUCGGGGUAGAUCUCCCACCCUUGUGUAUCAUUAUAGAAUGUUGCUUUGGCGGGCCGCGUUUCGGCGCCUGGAUUCGCGUCCAGCGUGCCCGCCAGAGGCCCCCUCCCCUCUUCCUGUUCUUUUCUUCUUCUUCCUCUUCCCUAGUUCCCCCUUUCCACAACGG
rnacentral:misc_RNA from 1 species